rnacentral:lncRNA from 1 species
AAAAAAUUGUUUUCCUGUUGGUGGCUGCUCCGGAGGUGGAGGGAGAGGAAUUCUUGCUUCUUAAGCAGAGAGGCCCAUGUCCCACCUCUGUCGAGCUGGGGUGGCCCCUCGGCUCCAGCUUUUCGAAAAGCUCUCAUCUCCCCAGCUGACAGCACGGCAGGCCGGGCCUCCGGCCGGGCGCGUCACACAGCGUGCAGAAGUGUUUCCAGGGAAGUAAGGCGUGGCCUCCUGUGGGGUCCCCGGGAGCAGGCACCGUCUCCUUGAAGUCUCCAAGUCCGAGGCAGCAGCCGGCGUUCAUCCCGCAGUGGCCCCGGCCACCCUGUCGUGUCCUUUUGCCCACUUCAUACAAACACAGCCGACAUCCACUGCUAAUUCCUGGGGGAGGAGUCAUCACGUGCGGCGCUCGUCAGCUGCCCCACCAGGGCUGUGGGCCUCAGUACUGGGGAUCAAACUCGGGACCUUGUGCUUGCGAGGCAGGCGGUGGAACCACAGAGCUACAUCCCCGGCCCCUGUAUUUCUUCAUUGAUUAAGCUGGAGGCACCACAGAGAAAUGGCCAGCUCAUCUAGAGACAGAAGCAGACCAAGGGUGAGUUGCCAUCACAAAGCUUCGUGUCUUCACGGAACGAAAGAGAGAGGCAGGAAAAACACCCUCUUCCCACAGCAGUGAAACUGAGGGCUUCAUACGAAGAAAGCAGAACUUCGGCACGGCGCGGCAGGAGACAGACAGAGGAGGCGGGGCCACCACACCCGGUUGGGACAGGGGUGCUGCCACCAGAUGAUGACGGCAUCACUGUCCGGACCCGGCACCCGAGUGCAGCACCAUUGCUCUUCUAAGCAGCUCCCCGCCUCAGCUCUCUGAGAAUCACAACCCCGUGCCACAGCCCCAGUGAAGGGCAGAACAGCCACAGGG